rnacentral:lncRNA from 1 species
ACGCGCCGCCGCCGCGCAGGGUCGUCGCGCCCGCCAUCCUUCGUCCGACGCCGCGCCGCCGCGGACGCGCCCGCCGAGGUCCCGCCACGCCACCGGCGCCACCAGCAGCUUCGAGCUCUUCUACGACGACGGCGCCGGAUCCGGCCUCCGCCCGCUGCCCGAGAGCAUGUCCGGGGAGGAGAUGAGGUGGGACAGGGGACGGGCGACGGAGCGGACGCGGAGCAGCUCCGGGAGCGCGAGGCAGAUGAGGAUCUGAAGGGAGG